CGGAGGGAUCAUUACAGAGUUGAAAAACUCCCUAAACCAUUGUGAACGUUACCCAAACCGUUGCUUCGGCGGGCGGCGCCCAGCGCCCCCCAGGCCCCCUCGCGGGGCGCCCGCCGGAGGUACCCCAAACCAUUGAUACUUUAUGGCCUCUCUGAGUCUUCUGUACUGAAUAAGUCAAAACUUUCAACAACGGAUCUCUUGGUUCUGGCAUCGAUGAAGAACGCAGCGAAAUGCGAUAAGUAAUGUGAAUUGCAGAAUUCAGUGAAUCAUCGAAUCUUUGAACGCACAUUGCGCCCGCCAGUAUUCUGGCGGGCAUGCCUGUUCGAGCGUCAUUUCAACCAUCAAGCCCCCGGCUUGUGUUGGGGACCUGCGGCUGCCGCAGGCCCUGAAAAGCAGUGGCGGGCUCGCUGUCACACCGAGCGUAGUAGAUUUUAUCUCGCUCUGGGCGUGCUGCGGGUUCCGGCCGUUAAACCACCUUCAUAACCCAAGGUUGACCUCGGAUCAGGUAGGAAGACCCGCUGAACUUAAGCAU
rnacentral:rRNA from 1 species